rnacentral:rRNA from 1 species
UACAGAGGUCUCAAGCGUUGUUCGGAUUCAUUGGGCGUAAAGGGUGCGUAGGCGGCGCGGUAAGUCGGGUGUGAAAUCUCGGAGCUUAACUCCGAAACUGCAUUCGAUACUGCCGUGCUUGAGGACUGGAGAGGAGACUGGAAUUUACGGUGUAGCGGUGAAAUGCGUAGAUAUCGUAAGGAACACCAGCGGCGAAGGCGGCGCUCUGGGCCGGAACUGACGCUGAGGAGCGAAAGCGUGGGUAGCAAACAGG